CUUGACCGCUCCCUUGAUCUUUGUUCGUAUCUUAUCUUGCAGAAAAGGACGGUUGCGAUGGCCAAGAUCUCCUUGCCAUCGCCCAAGAUGCAGAUGUACCAAGGCACUACAUCCCUAUUAUAAAAGAGUGUCUAACGUUCAAGAAAUUGAUUGCAAUGAACGCUGAACCUAGAGAUGACAUGAGUUCUUCGUCGUUACGAUAAUUAAUUUUCCCACCAGAGAAUUUGACGCAUGAAUGGUUCGCCUCUUCUCCCGAGUCCUGUUGAGUCUCAGCGGUCACGUGAUCAAAUUUUGGCGCCGAGAGAUAGAGACGGUUACAGUUCGAAUACUACAUUUGCACAAGCGUGCAGAAUCAAGUCCUUCGAGUAAGACGGUUCAAAGGUCGAUUGAUGAUUCAGAUAACAUCAGCGAUUAUGAAAAUUUAGAGGUGACAUUGGCACCGAAAGAAAAGGGUAAAUCGCCCAAGGAUCUCAGUUUUACGGACGAGGCGACAGAACUGAGCACUGUCUAAGUUCCUCCUGGAUGGCUUUCAAAAUUCCAACUACCAUCGAGGUUCUCUGCCUCAGUAGAGUUGGAUAUCCAGAAGGGAUAUCUCAUCAGCAGCCUAAAGUACUCUGAGCAGCAGUGGAUUGCAAAAAAAAAUUAUUACAGAGUAUCCUUGUAUGGCUAGCAGGAUACUAGACUAAGUUGACUUGGAAACUGAAUUGAUUGGUUUGGUUUAAAAAUCUAUUGCUUCACCUCUUCUGCUUGCAGUGAAGAGAGACAAUUUUGCGGUGCUGAAUCUCUUGCCUAUAAAAAGUUGCAAAAUAAUCACUCUGACCUUUUAAGUUCAUGACCUUUGUUCUUGUGUGUUUGUCAUCACAUAUGCAUUUAAUGAAGUUGGGACCAUUUUGGAGGUACGAGUCCAAAAAACUGCUACUUUGGUACUAAGAUGAACAGCUAAAAUUUCUGAGCCCAUUUGCCAAUGAAGUUCAGAUACAAAGGUUCAAGUACUUUGGGGUUGUAUUAAUUUUGCCUUUUUUUGUUUAGUUUUUUUGAUUUUGCAAUUUUUCAAAAAAUUCCUGUUUUCAAACCAUUAGAUAAAUAUUGCACAUAGAAUAGCUGAUUCUUUUCAGAUAUUUUGGGAGUCAUACAUUAGUUUUUCAAGUUUUGAA